UACGUAGGGUGCAAGCGUUGUCCGGAAUUAUUGGGCGUAAAGAGCUCGUAGGCGGUCUGUCGCGUCGGCUGUGAAAUCCCGAGGCUCAACCUCGGGUCUGCAGUCGAUACGGGCAAACUGGAGUGUUGCAGGGGAGACUGGAAUUCCUGGUGUAGCGGUGAAAUGCGCAGAUAUCAGGAGGAACACCGGUGGCGAAGGCGGGUCUUUGGGCAGUAACUGACGCUGAGGAGCGAAAGCGUGGGGAGCGAACAGG
rnacentral:rRNA from 1 species